rnacentral:tmRNA from 1 species
GGGGCUGUUAUGGUUUCGACAAGUGAUAGUUUGAAAUGAACUGCAGUGGAGUGGUGACCUAAUCACCAAACAAAAACAACUGGAAACAGUAAUUACGCAUUCGCUGCUUAAUUAUAGCUAAAUAGCUUGCAGCGCGAACUUCUUUGACUUUGUCCUUAAGUCUUUGAACUUCGAUUAAAACCAAUUAGGACUAAGCUGUGUUUUGCUCGAAAACAUAGUCGAAAACUAAAGAGCAUAUCAAAUGUAAUGUUUGUUUGUUUCUAAGCAUUUGAUGUAUCCUAGAAAUAAACUAAACUGUAGACGUUCAUUUGUGGAACAUUGCUUGGACACGGGUUCAACUCCCGUCAGCUCCACCA